AUUGUCUAUUGUAUUGUUUAGUGUAUUGCUCUUAUUUUUAUAAAAAAAGGAGGAAAAAAAAGAUUUUCCAAGCUCGGGGAUGUUGUUGUGUUGUGUUUCCACCAGAGGGCCCUCGGUGCUAACUGAGGAAUGUUAUGAAGCAGGGAACGCGAAGAAGACACUUCCUGUAACAUGGCGAAAUGAAUGAAAAGCAACAAUGCUAGACUGUUUUAUUAAAGUUUGAGCACAAGCUCAUUUGUUCAUAAAAGUGAUAUCUCAUCAUUUUUAACAAGAACAACAAACAUGGCGAAGGCGAGACACGCAAAUUGUGGUGUUGUUGGCUGCACACACCAACACGAAAGUUUAUUUUUGCUCCCCACUUCCGAGCCUCUCCGAAAAAAGUGGCUGGAUUAUAUCUUUGAUGGUCAUGUACCAAACAACAUUCCGAAACGCUUGUAUGUGUGUGCCCGGCAUUUCACGGACGAGUGUUUUUCGAACAUGGGCCCAUACAGCUCCGGCUUAGCACAAAGACUCCGAAUCAAGAAGGACGCAGUACCAACGCUUCGUGACCCAAGUAAAGGUGUGGGAGAUAGCUCAUCCCAGCAGACCCCCACCACCCGCUACAGACACAUAGGAGGUCAAACAGACCCUCUACCUACAGUCUCCGUAGCAACACAGUUCUGCCAUCAGAUGGUCUCUGUUGGCACGCAACUGUCCUACAGCACACUGAAAAACCAUGUGAGAAGCAAAGCCGUACAGGUUUCAAUUUGCAACACUGCUGGCACAGAGACCUCUCAACAAGACACAAGGUUCAAGCUAUCAUCCACACCUGGGAAGGCUUCUGCACCUUCACUGGGUGUCAGACCAGCAAAGAGACCUCGUCUUGAAUUGCAGGAGGACGAGGAAGAUGAAGGAAAUCUUUCAGAAAAUGCACAACCACACGACUCCACAUAUGAUCUCGAUGACUCUCCAUCUGAAAUGAGGGGGAUGGAGUCCACUUGUGAUUACACUGAUCCUAAGUACAUUGUGUUUGAGAGCUGUCUGAGAGACCUUUUCCAGACGUGUCCGGUGUGCAGGUGGGAGUGUGUGGUGCAGCAGCGAAGCCUCGGGACCUUUGUGUCCUUCAGUCAGCGAUGCCCAAACUGCCAGUAUACCAGAAAAUGGCAGAGUCAGCCGAUCAAAGGGAACACUCCUGUUGGAAACCUCCAGAUGUCUGCUGCUGUUUAUUUUACUGGUGCAUCCUUCAUUCAGAUGGAAAAGAUCUGCAAAGCCAUGAACCUGCAGAUGUUCCAUUAUGACACCUUCAGGAGACACGCCAGGAUGUUCCUAGAACCUGCAAUUAACCAUAAAUGGAAGACGGAUCAGCAGACACUGGUUGAGCGUCUGAAAGAGAAGGACAAAAUCGCAGUGGGUGGAGAUAUGAGGGCAGACUCAGCAGGACCGUCCCCCAAAUUCAGCAGCUACGCCCUGAUGCACCUAGAUAGCAACAACAUAAUUGACGUUCAGCUUGUGCAGAGCAAUGAGGUUGGUGGCAGCUCAAACAUGGAAACAGAGGGACUCAGAAGAGGCCUAGAUUUCCUGGAAGCACACCAUUUAGAUGUGGAUUACAUCGUGACUGACCGCCACGCACAGGUGGAGAAACAUCUGAAGGAGCGAAAUGUCGAGCAAUACUAUGACGUUUGGCACCUUGAGAAGGAUUUGUCCCAACAGUUGGAAAACCUGGCUAAAAACAAGGAAUGUCUGGUGGUGCGGAAAUGGUUGCCUAGCAUCAAAAACCACAUUUACUGGACGGCCACAGCUUCGAAGUCUGGACCAGAGAAAGUUGCAAAAUGGAAAUCUUUGGUCAACCACCUUCAGAACGUCCACAAACAUGAAGAUCCGCUCUUCCCCAGGUGCACUCAUCCCGACAGGGUCUCCAGGGACCCCAACAAGUGGUUUCAGCCCGGUUCAUUGGCUCUGAACAAAGUGGAGAAACUCCUAUUGGACAAACAAAUUCUACAUGAUGUGGAAAAACUCAGUCAUGACCACCAAAUUUCAUCAUUAGAGGCCUUCCAUAGUACCACCGAACGCUUCACUCCAAAAAAUGAUGUUCUGUCUUUCAUAGGGAGGCUGUGCAGAGAUGAACCUUGGUAAGUAAUGUCAGUUUUAAAACUUAAUCUGCGGUCUAUUACUUUUUCCCCAGGCUGUACUUGGCUGCCAUGCAUUUUAAUGAGAAUGGAAAGCGAGAUCAAUCAACAUCUUUAGAGGGAAAAGCUGUUUACAAGAUAAUGUUCCCAAAUUGCAGCAAUGGACAAUAUAUAACAAAUCCUAAUCAAACGGCGCCUACAUUCCAAUAUGUCAGUGACCUGAUGAAGCUUCUUUUUAAGAAAAUUUUUGAAGACCCAACCAGAUACAUAGAGGACCUGAACGAAAUCUCCAUACCAGAGGACAGGUGGACACAGUUUGAGAGACCCUCUUAGAAUAAGAUCACUGCCAGGUACGGUUGUGAAUAACAGUUUACAUACACUUGGGGAAAAAUGUGUCUAUUGUAGCAGUCUUGAGUUUCCUAUGACUCCUAUAACUCAAAAUUUUUCUGAUAGAAUGAUGGAAGCACAUACAUUUUUUGUCAUAAAAGACAAUUGCAGAUAUUGGUUCUUUCAUAGAUUUAUUACAGGUCUUCGGGAAAACUUGAACUAUCAGUUUUGGUGAUGUAGAGAGCUGUGUUAGACUUUCUUAGUGGCAAAGCCUCUUAACUUCUCAUGAGUGACUUCUGUUGACUACAGCUGGUGAUUUGCUAAGCCAAUUUAAAUAGGGGGCAGUUGAUACACUAAUCCACAAGCAGCCGUAAACCGUACAAGGGAAAGUCUGAGUCCAGAAGAUCUACAAUAAAUCUACAAAAGAACCAAAAUACAUGAUUGUUUUUUGUGACAAAGAUGCAUGUGUUUCAGUCAUUCCUUUGUAGAAAAUUAAGAGUUGUAGGACUCACUGGAAACUGCUAUGAUAUUUACAAGUGUAUGGAAACAUUAGUUCCUGACUGUAUGUGUCGUGUUUCAGUCGAGGGGCGGCUGGAACCAAACAAAAUUGGCAGCAGGUACAUCAGGCCAACAACACCUGGCAGGUUGACGAACCUGACCUGACCUCUCAGGUAUCCUCAGCAGCAACUUAAAAAAACUGUGAUAGAUAAAAUACCUGUAAGAUCAAUAAGGGAAAGAAGACACGAUCAUUACAGGAAAAAAUCACCACAUGGCAUGUUUGCUCCAUUACUGUCAAACAUUGUUCUGAAUCCAGUGAAGGACCUUUACAAAAACUGUAUAAAGUCUCAAACAGGACACUACCUCGUACGCUUAGCAAAGUGUUUUUAUCUGGUUUAAAAUUAUGAAUGCAGUGUGUUCUGUGUCUCCUGUAAAUAAAACAAUUCGUAUUUCUGA